CGGCUUCCCUUUGGCCUGGAGGAGAAGGCGGCUGCACCGCGGACCUAGGUUAAAUGGACUAACUGGCUCUCAUUCUGAGGGAACCUAAUGGAUAUCUCUUGCUUUAAUUAAAUCUCUACUGUAUGUCAAAAAGAUUUCUCAAGUCUGGAAGCUGCUCUGAAAGCAAUUGAAGCAGCAUAAAAAUGUGAAUCUAACAAGACUCCAAACAACUUGAGAGAGAAUUUUCUACUGAUCAGUUUGUAAUUUAAAUCCUUAACUGAAGCCUGCAUAGUAGUUAAACUGGUUGAAGAGAGAGCUUGCUCCUUUUGCUCUUCAAAAAAG
rnacentral:lncRNA from 1 species